AAGCAACAUUCUGUGGCAGAUGAUCAAAACCGUCUGACACAAUUUGAACUUGCUCUAGCAACAGCGUCUAGCCCAGGCCGGUGCUCUCUGCAUGAGACAAGCCGUCAUAUAGACUCAGACAGC